AUAAGCUAAAUAAGGGCGUAUGGGGAAUGCCUAGGCUCUCAGAGGCGAAGAAGGACGUGAUAAGCUGCGAAAAGCUGCGGGGACGGGCACACACCGAUUGAUCCGCAGGUAUCCGAAUGGGGCAACCCAGCAUAUUGAAGAUAUGUUACCCGCAAGGGGGCGAACCCGGGGAACUGAAACAUCUAAGUACCCGGAGGAAGAGAAAACAAAAGUGAUUCCGUUAGUAGUGGCGAGCGAACGCGGAUUAGCCCAAACCGGUGCUGUUACGGCAGCACCGGGGUUGUAGGACCACGACAUUCGAAACACAAUGAACUAGAACGCCCUGGAAAGGGCGGCCAUAGACGGUGAUAGCCCGGUAUAGGCAAGGCGUGCGUAGAUAGUGGUAUCCUGAGUAGUGCGGGACACGAGUAAUCCUGUAUGAAUCAAGCGGGACCAUCCGCUAAGGCUAAAUACUCCUGAGAGACCGAUAGUGAACUAGUACCGUGAGGGAAAGGUGAAAAGAACCCUGAAUAAGGGAGUGAAAUAGAACCUGAAACCAUACGCUUACAAGCGGUCGGAGCCCUUCUGGGGUGACGGCGUGCCUUUUGCAUAAUGAGCCUACGAGUUACCGUUGCUGGCAAGGUUAAGCGAUUAAGUCGCGGAUCCGUAGCGAAAGCGAGUCUGAAUAGGGCGCUUUAGUCAGUAGCGGUAGACGCGAAACCGUGUGAUCUACCCAUGGGCAGGCUGAAGCUGUAGUAACAUACAGUGGAGGGCCGAACCGGUUGACGUUGAAAAGUCUUCGGAUGACCUGUGGGUAGGGGUGAAAGGCCAAUCAAACUCGGAAAUAGCUCGUACUCCCCGAAAUGCAUUUAGGUGCAGCGUUGAUCCAUAGUUUUAUAGAGGUAGAGCUACUGAUUGGAUGCGGGGGCUUCACCGCCUACCAAUUCCUGACAAACUCCGAAUGCUAUGAAAUGUUAAUCAGCAGUGAGGGCAUGGGUGCUAAGGUCCAUGUCCGAGAGGGAAAGAACCCAGACCAUCAGCUAAGGUCCCAAAAUAUAUGUUAAGUUGAAAUAACGAGGUUGGACUGCCCAGACAGCUAGGAUGUUGGCUUGGAAGCAGCCAUUCAUUUAAAGAGUGCGUAACAGCUCACUAGUCGAGCGGUCCGGCAUGGAUAAUAAUCGGGCAUAAACAUAUUACCGAAGCUAUGGCAUCGAAAGAUGGGUAGGGGAGCAUUGUAGUGUCGUCGAAGGUGUGUCGUGAGGCAUGCUGGAGAAGCUACAAAAGAAAAUGUAGGCAUAAGUAACGAUAAUGCGGGCGAGAAACCCGCACUCCGAAAAACCAAGGUUUCCUCAGCUAUGCUAAUCAGCUGAGGGUCAGUCGGGGCCUAAGGCGAACCCGAAAGGGACAGUCGAUGGACAACGGGUUAAUAUUCCCGUACCUGCCCACGCUAAAAGUGACGGAGGCGUAAAUUUGGUGCGCACUGACGGAAUAGUGCGUUGAAGCCAGUGGCAACACGGCGAUAGUACACUGAGGCCUCGGCCAAGGUGAUAAUCCAGAGUAGCGACUUCCAAGAAAAACGAGUGAGGCAGCCCGUACCCCAAACCGACACAGGUGGUUGGGAUGAGAAUUCUAAGGAGCUCGAGAGAUUCAUGGCUAAGGAAUUAGGCAAAAUAGACCCGUAACUUCGGGAGAAGGGUCGCCCAUCCUCGGAUGGGCCGCAGUGAAAAGGUCCAGGCGACUGUUUAUCAAAAACACAGGGCUAUGCUAAAUCGAAAGAUGACGUAUAUGGCCUGACACCUGCCCGGUGCUGGAAGGUUAAGUGGAGGGCUUAGGGGCAACCCGAAGGUCUUAAAUGAAGCCCCAGUAAACGGCGGCCGUAACUAUAACGGUCCUAAGGUAGCGAAAUUCCUUGUCGGGUAAGUUCCGACCUGCACGAAUGGUGCAACGAUCUGGACACUGUCUCAGCCAUGAGCUCGGUGAAAUUGUAGUAUCGGUGAAGAUGCCGAUUACCCGCUGUGGGACGAAAAGACCCCGUGCACCUUUACUAUAGCUUAGUAUUGGUUUUGGAUAAGUAAUGUGUAGGAUAGGUGGGAGACUUCGAUCGUGCGUCGCCAGGCGUACGUUAGUCAUUGUUGAAAUACCACCCUUUGCUUAUCUAGAGUCUAACCCUUG
rnacentral:rRNA from 1 species